GCAACUCUUCUUGUGUCUCGACCUCUUCAACCAACUCAGAGUUCACCGAGUCUUCAACUAUUCCUUCGAACACUUUCAAAGGACUUAUUCUUCGAGAUUGAAUUGUAAAGAAAACUCUCAAGAGCACAUUAAUACCUCCAGAUCAAUGAAUCAUGCAAAAAGUUCUUGAGUUCAGAAACGCUAGUUUCAUGUUCUUUAUCAAAAUCCUGAAAAGAGAAGCCUUU
rnacentral:lncRNA from 1 species